AUUAAUGUAGCUCAGUGGUAGAGUAUCUGCUUUGCCUGAAGAAGGUCUCAGGUUCAAUCCCUGAUAACGAUA